rnacentral:rRNA from 1 species
GGUUAAGCGACUAAGCGUACACGGUGGAUGCCCUGGCAGUCAGAGGCGAUGAAGGACGUGCUAAUCUGCGAUAAGCGCCGGUAAGGUGAUAUGAACCGUUAUAACCGGCGAUUUCCGAAUGGGGAAACCCAGUGUGACUCGUCACACUAUCAUUAACUGAAUCCAUAGGUUAAUGAGGCGAACCGGGGGAACUGAAACAUCUAAGUACCCCGAGGAAAAGAAAUCAACCGAGAUUCCCCCAGUAGCGGCGAGCGAACGGGGAGGAGCCCAGAGCCUGAAUCAGCAUGUGUGUUAGUGGAAGCGUCUGGAAAGGCGCGCGAUACAGGGUGACAGCCCCGUACACAAAAGCGCAUGUGCUGUGAGCUCGAUGAGUAGGGCGGGACACGUGGUAUCCUGUCUGAAUAUGGGGGGACCAUCCUCCAAGGCUAAAUACUCCUGACUGACCGAUAGUGAACCAGUACCGUGAGGGAAAGGCGAAAAGAACCCCGGCGAGGGGAGUGAAAAAGAACCUGAAACCGUGUACGUACAAGCAGUGGGAGCACCCUUUGGGGUGUGACUGCGUACCUUUUGUAUAAUGGGUCAGCGACUUAUAUUCUGUAGCAAGGUUAACCGAAUAGGGGAGCCGGAGGGAAACCGAGUCUUAACCGGGCGUUAAGUUGCAGGGUAUAGACCCGAAACCCGGUGAUCUAGCCAUGGGCAGGUUGAAGGUUGGGUAACACUAACUGGAGGACCGAACCGACUAAUGUUGAAAAAUUAGCGGAUGACCUGUGGCUGGGGGUGAAAGGCCAAUCAAACCGGGAGAUAGCUGGUUCUCCCCGAAAGCUAUUUAGGUAGCGCCUCGUGAAUUCAUCUCCGGGGGUAGAGCACUGUUUCGGCUAGGGGGCCAUCCCGGCUUACCAACCCGAUGCAAACUGCGAAUACCGGAGAAUGUUAUCACGGGAGACACACGGCGGGUGCUAACGUCCGUCGUGAAGAGGGAAACAACCCAGACCGCCAGCUAAGGUCCCAAAGUCAUGGUUAAGUGGGAAACGAUGUGGGAAGGCCCAGACAGCCAGGAUGUUGGCUUAGAAGCAGCCAUCAUUUAAAGAAAGCGUAAUAGCUCACUGGUCGAGUCGGCCUGCGCGGAAGAUGUAACGGGGCUAAACCAUGCACCGAAGCUGCGGCAGCGACACUAUGUGUUGUUGGGUAGGGGAGCGUUCUGUAAGCCUGUGAAGGUGGCCUGUGAGGGUUGCUGGAGGUAUCAGAAGUGCGAAUGCUGACAUAAGUAACGAUAAAGCGGGUGAAAAGCCCGCUCGCCGGAAGACCAAGGGUUCCUGUCCAACGUUAAUCGGGGCAGGGUGAGUCGACCCCUAAGGCGAGGCCGAAAGGCGUAGUCGAUGGGAAACGGGUUAAUAUUCCCGUACUUGGUGUUACUGCGAAGGGGGGACGGAGAAGGCUAUGUUGGCCGGGCGACGGUUGUCCCGGUUUAAGCGUGUAGGCUGGUUUUCCAGGCAAAUCCGGAAAAUCAAGGCUGAGGCGUGACGACGAGGCACUACGGUGCUGAAGCAACAAAUGCCCUGCUUCCAGGAAAAGCCUCUAAGCAUCAGGUAACAUCAAAUCGUACCCCAAACCGACACAGGUGGUCAGGUAGAGAAUACCAAGGCGCUUGAGAGAACUCGGGUGAAGGAACUAGGCAAAAUGGUGCCGUAACUUCGGGAGAAGGCACGCUGACACGUAGGUGAAGUGAUUUACUCAUGGAGCUGAAGUCAGUCGAAGAUACCAGCUGGCUGCAACUGUUUAUUAAAAACACAGCACUGUGCAAACACGAAAGUGGACGUAUACGGUGUGACGCCUGCCCGGUGCCGGAAGGUUAAUUGAUGGGGUCAGCGCAAGCGAAGCUCCUGAUCGAAGCCCCGGUAAACGGCGGCCGUAACUAUAACGGUCCUAAGGUAGCGAAAUUCCUUGUCGGGUAAGUUCCGACCUGCACGAAUGGCGUAAUGAUGGCCAGGCUGUCUCCACCCGAGACUCAGUGAAAUUGAACUCGCUGUGAAGAUGCAGUGUACCCGCGGCAAGACGGAAAGACCCCGUGAACCUUUACUAUAGCUUGACACUGAACAUUGAGCCUUGAUGUGUAGGAUAGGUGGGAGGCUUUGAAGUGUGGACGCCAGUCUGCAUGGAGCCGACCUUGAAAUACCACCCUUUAAUGUUUGAUGUUCUAACGUGGACCCGUGAUCCGGGUUGCGGACAGUGUCUGGUGGGUAGUUUGACUGGGGCGGUCUCCUCCUAAAGAGUAACGGAGGAGCACGAAGGUUGGCUAAUCCUGGUCGGACAUCAGGAGGUUAGUGCAAUGGCAUAAGCCAGCUUGACUGCGAGCGUGACGGCGCGAGCAGGUGCGAAAGCAGGUCAUAGUGAUCCGGUGGUUCUGAAUGGAAGGGCCAUCGCUCAACGGAUAAAAGGUACUCCGGGGAUAACAGGCUGAUACCGCCCAAGAGUUCAUAUCGACGGCGGUGUUUGGCACCUCGAUGUCGGCUCAUCACAUCCUGGGGCUGAAGUAGGUCCCAAGGGUAUGGCUGUUCGCCAUUUAAAGUGGUACGCGAGCUGGGUUUAGAACGUCGUGAGACAGUUCGGUCCCUAUCUGCCGUGGGCGCUGGAGAACUGAGGGGGGCUGCUCCUAGUACGAGAGGACCGGAGUGGACGCAUCACUGGUGUUCGGGUUGUCAUGCCAAUGGCACUGCCCGGUAGCUAAAUGCGGAAGAGAUAAGUGCUGAAAGCAUCUAAGCACGAAACUUGCCCCGAGAUGAGUUCUCCCUGAGACUUUAGGUCUCCUGAAGGAACGUUGAAGACGACGACGUUGAUAGGCCGGGUGUGUAAGCGCAGCGAUGCGUUGAGCUAACCGGUACUAAUGAACCGUGAGGCUUAACCUU